UUAGCGGCGGACGGGUGAGUAACGCGUGAAUAACCUGCCCGGAAGACCGGGAUAACCCUGGGAAACUGGGGCUAAUACCGGAUAAGCUUUUAUCGGGGCAUCCCGGUGAAAGGGAAAGUGGCUGUGAGGCUACUGCUUUCGGAUGGAUUCGCGUCCCAUUAGCUUGUUGGCGGGGUAACGGCCCACCAAGGCAGCGAUGGGUAGCCGGCCUAAGAGGGUGGUCGGCCACACUGGGACUGAGACACGGCCCAGACUCCUACGGGAGGCAGCAGUGGGGAAUAUUCCGCAAUGGGCGAAAGCCUGACGGAGCGACGCCGCGUGGGGGAAGAAGGCUUUCGGGUUGUAAACCCCUGUCGUAGGGGAAGAUGCCGUAAUCUGCGAACAGUUGGUUGCGGUGACGGUACCCUACAAGAAAGCCCCGGCUAACUACGUGCCAGCACCCGCGGUAAGACGUAGGGGGCGAGCGUUGUCCGGAAUUACUGGGCGUAAAGGGCGUGUAGGCGGCUUCAGAAGUCGCAGGUGAAAUACCACGGCUCAACCGUNGGGCUGCCUGCGAAACCAUGGNGGCUUGAGGGCAGGAGAGGGGAGUGGAAUUCCCCGGUGUANCGGUGAAAUGCGNUAGAUAUC
rnacentral:rRNA from 1 species